GAGGCGGAGGAGGAGGCGGG
rnacentral:misc_RNA from 1 species